rnacentral:lncRNA from 1 species
GCCCGAUCGUAAGCUAAUACUACUAAUGCCAAUAAAAUAAAAAGCAAAGGUACAAAUGCUAGGUCUAGUCACGUGGGGUAAACGAGUGAACAAUGAGGUCGGCUAGUGAAUUUCAAUCCAAUAGAUUAAGACUAAAUUGUUAAAAUAUUAGCAACACAAAGAAUUAUUGAUGCAAUUCUAAAAUACAGUAAUAGUGUCACUAAAAUGAGUAGGAUCAGAGACUCUCUGAGUUCAGUUGGCCCGAGUCGUCCUAGCGUCGAAUGCCUCCACUUUCUGAACUGUUAAGCGCUGAGAUGCCAAGAUAGAAAAUUCCGUAUUCGUCGAGGAACUAAUGUACCUAUAAAAAAUGUCAGGAAAUACCCAAAAAUUCUCGAUUUUUUUUUAAACUCUUUUUUUUUUUUUGAACUCUCUUUUUUUUUUUGACUCUUUUUUUUUUCAACUCUCUUUUUUUUUUUAAUAAGGAUACAAAUCAAAUAAUGUAAAUGCAAUAACAAGGACUAAUUGAGAUCCAAAAUAAAAUAAGAGUACUGAAACACAAACAAACGUUAAAAUGACCAUCGGUUUCCAGCCUUCGACUCACUGCGACCUCCGGUUUCCAGAUUUCGAACCACUGCAGCAUAGGCGACGGCGAGGGUGGCUAUUUUCGCGUCUGCUGGUCAUGGUGGCGUCGUCCGUCGUCGCGUCGCUGGUGGUAAAGAGGCGACGGCUGCGCAGGCUUAACUUCUGUUGGUCCAGUGUAUUCCAAGGGUCUUGCUAUUGUGAAAGGGCUGACUUUUUCGAGCUUGAGUUAUCCAUUCCUCCGAUUUCUCCUUAGCUACAGAGAAGAGAAAGGACAUGGGUUCUCGGUUACAAAUUCAGGGGGUGUGGAAUUGUGGUACUUCUGUCAAUUCAACGUUUCUCGAGCUUUAUGACGAUACUGGAGCUAUCGAAGGUUAUACUGGUUGGGCGUUGGCAGUUGCAGAGAGUGACAAUUCCCUAGAGGUAAUUUUUAGGUAUUUUGUUUUUGCAGCAGAUAGAUUGUUUUUGCAGCAGAUAGAUUGUAUAGAUGAAGUGUUACACCUGGUUUAACUCUGAUACCAAUUUGAUGUAGGGUGAAUAAUAACAAGAA